rnacentral:rRNA from 1 species
UACAGAGACUGCAAGCGUUAUUCGGAUUCACUGGGCGUAAAGGGUGCGCAGGCGGCCGUGUGUGUCAGGUGUGAAAGCCUGGAGCUUAACUCCGGAAUUGCGCCUGAAACUACAUGGCUAGAGCAUUGGAGAGGGUAGCGGAAUUCACGGUGUAGCAGUGAAAUGCGUAGAUAUCGUGAGGAACACCAGAGGCGAAGGCGGCUACCUGGACAAUUGCUGACGCUCAGGCACGAAAGCGUGGGGAGCAAAAGGG